rnacentral:misc_RNA from 1 species
GUUGAUGUGUAUUAAUUUGAAUAAUUUUAUAUUAAACAAUGGCUUUUAAUUCUAUUGCUACUUUCUUAUCAUUAUUCAUAAUACUAGUUUUAUUCGAUAUAGCUAAUGCUCAAUAUGAAGAUGUAAGAUGUAAAUGCAUCUGCCCCAGUCCUGAAGUUGUGAAGGGUAACAAAACUGAAAGGAAGCUUUAUAUUGCUAAUGUUGUUCCUUCUCAAUGCAAAUGUGAGGGUGUUGUUAUGCCACAAGCUGAUGAAUAUCUCAGAGCUAAGGAAAAAGAAUUUUGCCCUCGAUGUGAAUGUCGGUAUGAAAGACGGAAUACCACAACAAUAUUUGUUGUGGUUAUCAUUAUCAUCUGGGUAAUUUCGUUGCUGACAGUGUACAUGCUAUUUCUCAUGUGUUUGGAUCCAUUGCUAAAUAAACGCAGAACUGCUUAUCAAGAGCAUACAAAUGAAGAAGUAACUCUGGUCAGGUCCAGGUACACUGAAUGUUUGGUGGAUUUCUGGAAUUUAGAAACAGAUCAUUUUCUUAAGCAGCAUAAAGAAGAUAAUAUCUGUUUGAUGCCAAAUUAUCAUUUUGUAAAGUAAAAACAUAUAUAUAUUGCAGAAUGACAGAUAUUGCACUGAAGAAGAUAAUGAAGUGAAGCGAUACCUAUGCCAAGGCCUAGAGUAGGUAGCACUAAUGUUCUAAAUCGUGUUGGGCAACAACAAGACAGAUGGAAAAGACAAGUACAAGAACAAAGACGGAAUAUUUAUGAUCGUCAUACUAUGCUGAAU